rnacentral:rRNA from 1 species
GUGAGGAAUAUUGCGCAAUGGAGGCAACUCUGACGCAGCCAUGCCGCGUGCAGGAAGAAGGCGCUACGCGUUGUAAACUGCUUUUAACCGGGAAGAAACCCCAGGACGUGUCCUGGGUUGACGGUACCGGAGGAAUAAGCACCGGCUAACUUCGUGCCAGCAGCCGCGGUAAUACGAAGGGUGCAAGCGUUAUCCGGAUUCAUUGGGUUUAAAGGGUGUGUAGGCGGAGCGUUAAGUCAGUGGUGAAAUCCUGCAGCUUAACUGUAGACUUGCCAUUGAUACUGGCGCUCUUGAGUGCGCUUGAAGUGGGCGGAAUGUGCCGUGUAGCGGUGAAAUGCUUAGAUAUGGCACAGAACACCAAUUGCGAAGGCAGCUCACUAAGGCGAUACUGACGCUGAGGCACGAAAGCGUGGGGAUCGAACAGGAUUAGAUACCCCAGUAGUCC